CGCCCCCCCCUAUUGAAGACCAUGGCAAUUCGAGCGGAUGAAAGGGAGCUUGCUCCUGGAUUCAGCGGCGGACGGGUGAGUAAUGCCUAGGAAUCUGCCUGGUAGUGGGGGAUAACGUCCGGAAACGGGCGCUAAUACCGCAUACGUCCUGAGGGAAAAAGUGGGGGAUCUUCGGACCUCACGCUAUCAAAUGAGCCUAGGUCGGAUUAGCUAGUUGGUGGGGUAAAGGCCUACCAAGGCGACGAUCCGUAACUGGUCUGAGAGGAUGAUCAGUCACACUGGAACUGAGACACGGUCCAAACUCCUACGGGAGGCAGCAGUGGGGAAUAUUGGACAAUGGGCGAAAGCCUGAUCCAGCCAUGCCGCGUGUGUGAAGAAGGUCUUCGGAUUGUAAAGCACUUUAAGUUGGGAGGAAGGGCAGUAAGUUAAUACCUUGCUGUUUUGACGUUACCAACAGAAUAAGCACCGGCUAACUUCGUGCCAGCAGCCGCGGUAAUACGAAGGGUGCAAGCGUUAAUCGGGAAUUACUGGGCGUAAAGCGCGCGUAGGUGGUUCAGCAAGUUGGAUGUGAAAUCCCCGGGCUCAACCUGGGAACUGCA
rnacentral:rRNA from 1 species